rnacentral:rRNA from 1 species
UACGGAGGGUGCAAGCGUUAUCCGGAUUCACUGGGCUUAAAGGGUGCGUAGGCGGGCAGGUAAGUCUGCGGUGAAAUCUCCGGGCUUAACCCGGAAACUGCCGUUGAUACUAUCUGUCUUGAAUAUCGUGGAGGUAAGCGGAAUAUGUCAUGUAGCGGUGAAAUGCUUAGAUAUGACAUAGAACACCCAUUGCGAAGGCAGCUUACUACACGAUCAUUGACGCUGAGGCACGAAAGCGUGGGGAGCAAACAGG